UCCACCUCUCCGAACCAACGCCGCCAGAGGGAUAUUUAAGAGCACCGCAAGUGACGAUCCGUCAGUCCUGAACGACCGUUCUGGGCUCCAUAACCAGCCAAGCGAAGUGAGCGAGGCGGGCGGACCUGAGUCGCGACGUGCACUGUUUUGAGGUGAUUCGUAAACUUAGGCAGGCCAACUCGAGACGAGAUGCAAGGUGUACUGAAGUGAGACGCCCAUCCGCAGGAGGACUUCGCUGGGACGAAAUAGAAUAUUAAAUUAUUAUUUUGCCUUAUAUUGUACAUAGUUUAGAAUUAAUAGAUUUGCUUUGUUUUCAA
rnacentral:lncRNA from 1 species